GUCAGUUGUUGUGUCGCAGCUGCUUUUCUCCGUCUGAAGGUUCCACUAAGGUUAAUGUCGUAGCCAGAGACGCCGCCCUCGUUGACUCACUGGUGGUGAUUUUAUUUCUGUACUUCAGUAAAUAAACCAGUCUGCAGUGUUUUCCCAAAGUCUGCCUACAUGUGUUCUCUGCUCUAAGUUUUCCAGUUUACCUGAAGGCUGGACAAAUCCUACAACUCCAGUCAGAGAUCAUGAUAACGACAACUGAUAAUGGUGUCAAUCAGAGAUCCUUCAUCCAUUAUUUAUCCACUGCUUGAUCCUUUAGAUCCAUCCAGCUGAGAGUAACACAACAUAAGAGUGGAUGAGUGGAGGAGCAGCUGAUGUUUUUACAGUACAUAUGAUGAACAGGAGGACUUCAGUGGAUGUGUGCUAAAUGAUGUGUUUCCUCUGCAGGUGAAGGUAGAAAGUGUGUGAGCUGAUGUGAGUUCAGCACCAUGGAUCAGUGUGAGGGCUCUCGGAUCUCUGUGAUCAGGAGAAUCAUACCAGAGCUCAGAGCUCAGAGGAAUGAACCUGAACCUGCAUCCAGCUGUGUGUCCUUUAGGAGCGACUGGUCCAAGGAGAUUGGUGAUUCUUUCAAACAAGAACGUUCAUCACCAGCAUCCAGCUGUGUGUCCUUUAAGAGCGACUGGUCCAAGGAGAUUGGUGAUUCUUUCAAACAAGAACGUUCAUCACCAGCAUCCAGCUGUGUGUCCUUUAAGAGCGACUGGUCCAAGGAGAUUG